rnacentral:rRNA from 1 species
ACAUGCCUACAUCAUAGCGUUAAUGCACUGUAUCCCAUUAGAAAUCUGCAGUUAAGCGCACUCAGGAUAGAGUAGUAAUAGGAUGGGUGAUCGCCCUGGAAUUACUAGUGUUUUACAUGCC